GAUGAAUACUCGCUGUUUGCGAUAUACGGCAAGCGGCCAAGCGAAAGCGUUAAGUAUUCCACCUGGGGAGUACGCCGGCAACGGUGAAACUCAAAGGAAUUGACGGGGGCCCGCACAAGCGGAGGAACAUGUGGUUUAAUUCGAUGAUACGCGAGGAACCUUACCCGGGCUUAAAUUGCACUCGAAUGAUCCGGAAACGGUUCAGCUAGCAAUAGCGAGUGUGAAGGUGCUGCAUGGUUGUCGUCAGCUCGUGCCGUGAGGUGUCGGCUUAAGUGCCAUAACGAGCGCAACCCUUGUUGUCAGUUACUAACAGGUGAUGCUGAGGACUCUGACAAGACUGCCAUCGUAAGAUGUGAGGAAGGUGGGGAUGACGUCAAAUCAGCACGGCCCUUACGUCCGGGGCUACACACGUGUUACAAUGGGGGGUACAGAGGGCCGCUACCACGCGAGUGGAUGCCAAUCCCUAAAACCCCUCUCAGUUCGGACUGGAGUCUGCAACCCGACUCCACGAAGCUGGAUUCGCUAGUAAUCGCGCAUCAGCCACGGCGCGGUGAAUACGUUCCCGGGCCUUGUACACACCGCCCGUCAAGCCAUGGGAGCCGGGGGUACCUGAAGUGCGUAACCGCGAGGAUCGGCCUAGGGUAAAACUGGUGACUGGGGCUAAGUCGUAACAAGGUAAC
rnacentral:rRNA from 1 species